UACAGAGGGGGCAAGCGUUGUUCGGAAUUACUGGGCGUAAAGGGCGCGUAGGCGGCCUUCUAAGUCAAACGUGAAAUCCCUCGGCUCAACCGGGGAACUGCGUCUGAUACUGGAAGGCUUGAAUCCGGGAGAGGAAUGCGGAAUUCCAGGUGUAGCGGUGAAAUGCGUAGAUAUUGGGAAGAACACCGGUGGCGAAGGCGGCAACCUGGUCCUUGACUGACGCUGAGGCGCGAAAGCGUGGGGAGCAAACAGG
rnacentral:rRNA from 1 species